GCGGGUAUAGCUGAAGUGGUAGAGCGCAUGCUUAGCAUGCAUGAGGUCCUGGGUUCAAUCCCCAGUACCUCCC
rnacentral:tRNA from 1 species